rfam:Aedes albopictus isolate Foshan contig140633, whole genome shotgun sequence.
UGUCCAGCAACUCCUAUCCCUACAUCCACGUGGUACCGGCUGGAAACUAUGAUUAACCUUAUAGAAGAUCGGGUAACAGGGAAGG